rnacentral:rRNA from 3 species
AUAUGAGAGUUUGAUCCUGGCUCAGGAUGAACGCUCGCGGCGUGCCUAAGGUAUGCAAGUCGACCGUGAGCCCCGCGCAAGCGGGGUCGAACGGGGCGAACGGGUGAGUAAUGCGUAGGAAUCUGCCCCUGUCUCGGGGAUAACCCGCCGAAAGGCGGGCUAAUAACCGAUGGUCCCGCAAGGGUAAAGCUUCGGUGGACAGGGAGGAGCCUGCGUCCUAUCAGCUAGUUGGCAGGGUAAUAGCCUACCAAGGCGAUGACGGGUAGCUGGUGUGAGAGCACGUCCAGCCACAAGGGCACUGAGACAAGGGCCCUACUCCUACGGGAGGCAGCAAUUAGGAAUCUUGCGCAAUGGGGGAAACCCUGACGCAGCGACGCCGCGUGGAGGAUGAAGGUCGUGAGACUGUAAACUCCUUAAUUCGCCGUAAGGCGGAGGAUAAAGUCCCGGCUAACUACGUGCCAGCAGCAGCGGUGAAACGUAGGGGGUAAGCGUUAUCCGGAUUUAUUGGGCGUAAAGAGUGUGCAGGCGGUCAGGUAAGUUCUCCGUUAAAGCCCCCCGCUCAACGGGGGAACUGCGGGGAAUACUGCUUGACUUGAGGGAGGUAGGGGCUGUCGGAACUCGGAGAGGAGGGGUGAAAUCUUAUGAUCCUUCGAGGAACACCAAAGGCGAAGGCAGACAGCUGGGCCUUUCCUGACGCUGAGGCACGAAAGCUAGGGGAGCAAAACGGAUUAGAUACCCGUGUAGUCCUAGCUGUAAACGAUCCCCGCUAGAUUUCGGCGUUUGCCGGAGUCGAAGCUAACGCAUUAAGCGGGGCGCCUGGGGAGUACGGCCGCAAGGCUAAAACUCAAAGGAAUUGACGGGGACCCGCACAAGCAGCGUCGCAUGUGGUUUAAUUCGAUGAUAACCGAAAGACCUUACCAGGGCUUGACAUGCAGGUGGUAGUGACUCGAAAGGGAAGCGACCCGCAAGGGAGCCUGCACAGGUGUUGCAUGGCUGUCGUCAGCUCGUGCCGUGAGGUGUAUGCUUAAGUGCCGAAACGAGCGCAACCCCCACCCUAUGUUAAAAAUGUCAUAGGGAACUGCCUCGGCAACGAGGAGGAAGGUGGGGAUGACGUCAAGUCAGUAUGGCCCUUAUGCCCUGGGCCACACACAUGCGGUAAUGGCAGCUACAACGGGUAGCAAUGUGGCAACGCAGAGCUAAUCUCUUAAAAGCUGUCUCAGUUCAGAUUGCGGGCUGCAACUCGCCCGCAUGAAGUGGAGUUGCUAGUAAUGGCCGGUCAGCUAUACGGCCGUGAAUACGUUCUCGGGUCUUGUACACACCGCCCGUCAACUGGGGAAAGUUGAGGCCAUCCGAAUCCCGCCUUAGGCGGGGCAAGAUGGAAUCAGCGAUCAACAGUAAGUCGUAACAAGGUAGCCGUAGGGGAAUCUGCGGCUGGAUCACCUCCUUUCU